rnacentral:rRNA from 1 species
UACGGAGAGUGCGAACGUUGUUCGGAUUCACUGGGCGUAAAGGGCACGUAGGCGGCUUGGCAAAUCGGUCGUGGAAUCCCGACGCUUACCGUCGGAACGGCGGCCGAAAAUACCGAGCUCGAGGGCGUGAGGGGUCACUGGAACUCCUGGUGAAGCGGUGAAAUGCGUAGAUAUCAGGAGGAACGCCGGAGGCGAAGGCAGCCGCCUGGGCCUGAUCUGACACUGAGACACGAAAGCGUGGGGAUCAAACAGG